GUGGGCUGUCAGCGCUCCCCCCACCAUCCUCCCCACACGGGGGCAGCGGGGGAGGUGCUGGCGGGCAGUGGACGUUGCCAGACGCGCACUCUGUCCCGGUCCUUGACGUCUGGCUCGCAGGAGCAGGGGCAAGGCUCCUCCCGCCCGCCGCUGUCUUCCGCGCUGCGCUGGCUCCGAUUGAAGUCCGCCGUCUGCGAAGACCCGGGACUUUGCGAUACCCCUUGCCCUUUAGAAAUUGUGCCCCGGAGCCUCAGCUGCCUCUCCGUCUACAGGGUGACCGGCUGGAAGACCUAAAAACAGUCUGCCCGGAGGACUCCCGCGUUCCGUAGGUGUGGAGAAGCCUCAGCAGGUUAUCAGCGUUACCAUGACAACGGUGGGGGCCGGGAACAACACGGCAGAGGUGAAAGGUCAAGUCAAACAAUGAUAAAUACCCGCCCGCAAAACUUCUCUUGCGCCUGGACUAUGUACCUGAGACGCCGGGGAUAGUUGGUUUGAAAAUAAUUUUUCUUUUCACCCCCAAGUGACCUCCUAUUAAUGUCACUCCUUUUUUCAGUCUCUUGUGUUGUAAGGCUGCUUAGCAGACAAUUCUAUUUGGUACCACUCUUUCAAGGGAUCUUGUCUACUGACUAUGGUGAACACACAUCCUGCCGCUGGUAGAGAAGAGGAGCUCGCUGCUUUCCACACCCAUUCCAGACUUGCAAGAAAGAAAACCUACCCAGAAGCUGGAAGGAAUCCAGAAAACAUGGACAAACCCGCAGCUCUCCCUUGAGAGAGAGGAAGAAAAGAAGCUGUCCAUCAGGAUGCUGGGAGGCGGUUUUCUGCCAAGGGACUCAGCUUGACAAAUCUGGCCACAGAAAGAAAAAUAUUGGCUUCAAUUACUUUUCUUGUAUAAAACUAUGUGGGGGCAAUAGCCAAAAUGUGGAAAGAGCCCAGAUGUCCACUGAUGGAUGAAUGGAUAAGGAAGAUGCGGUGUAUAUUCAAUGGAAUAUUACUCAGCCAUCAGAAAGAAUGAAAUCUUGCCAUUUGUAAUGACGUGGAUGGAACUAGAAGGUGUACUCUUCAAAACCUCAUCCUUGAGGGAUGCACCCAGGAAAAAAGCCGAUGCUCUCAGAGUCUUUGAUGGGCCGGAAGAAGAGACAGAUCUCCUCCACAGACUUGGUCUUCAUGUCCUUGACCAGCUGACCCAGCUUGGUGACGGGGGUCCACUUCUUGUCCUCGGCCUUGCCUCCAUGACCUCCCAUUACAGGGCUCUCCUGCAGCACCGGCAUCAUCUACCAUUCGGUGUUUUCUUGGAGACGAAGCUACUACAUUCUUUUCAACAUGCACAGUAUUCCGUGUAUUUCUCUCGGUCUUUUUAGCAGAA